AACGCACAUUGCGCCCGCCAGCAUUCUGGCGGGCAUGCCUGUCCGAGCGUCAUUUCAACCCUCGAUCCCCCCCCGGGGGGAGCGGUGUUGGGGGACGGCCGCCUGCAACGCCCACCCGUGGGAUGGCGGCCGCCCCCGAAAUGCAGUGGCGACCCCGCCGCAGCCUCCCCUGCGUAGUAGCUGUCACAGUAAACCUCGCACCGGAGCGCGGCGCGGCUCGGCCGUGAAACCCCAACUUUCUGAAAGGUUGACCUCGGAUCAGGUAGGAGUACCCGCUGAACUUAA
rnacentral:misc_RNA from 1 species